GAUGAACGCUAGCGAUAGGCCUAACACAUGCAAGUCGAGGGGCAUCACAUGAAGUAGCAAUACGGAUGGUGGCGACCGGCGCACGGGUGAGUAACACGUAUGCAACCUGCCUUCAACAAGGGGAUAACCCGUUGAAAGACGGACUAAUACCCUAUAACACAGGGGUCCCGCAUGGGAAUAUUUGUUAAAGGACAACCGGUUGAAGAUGGGCAUGCGUUCCAUUAGCUAGUUGGCGGGGUAACGGCCCACCAAGGCAACGAUGGAUAGGGGAACUGAGAGGUUUAUCCCCCACACUGGUACUGAGACACGGACCAGACUCCUACGGGAGGCAGCAGUGAGGAAUAUUGGUCAAUGGACGCAAGUCUGAACCAGCCACGUCGCGUGAAGGAAGACGGCCCUACGGGUUGUAAACUUCUUUUGCAAGGGAAUAAAGUGGGCCACGUGUGGCCUUUUGCAAGUACCUUGCGAAUAAGGAUCGGCUAACUCCGUGCCAACAGCCGCGGUAAGU
rnacentral:rRNA from 1 species